AUAAGUAUUGUAAAACUUAAAAUAUAUUCUAAACCAAACAUCAAACCAAACAAAACGCAUUGUCGAUCAGCACACUGACCGCAAUCCACCCGACCUACAACUUGGUACAAACGUGCCAAUUCAGCUACACAUAUCCAUUCACAACCUUACAUAAACACACGGCUGAAUGUCGAGCAGCGUGUCUGCUUUCAUAACACUACGUGAGAAUAAACAACUCAUCGAAAAGCCGAAUACCACACGUAAUAUCAACACGGUUUUCAUACACAAGGCUGAAUGACCAGGCGUGCGAAUUUCCACAACACAGCCGCGAUUAAUUUGUCCAGGUACGCACGUUUGAAAAACAAGCACAACCUUCUGGUUUUGUAUAAAGGCUGCACAGAAUACUAACCCUCAUCAGUUCUGUGCAGCUCGUCACAACCAGCAAGUCCAGUAUGAACACUGCACCCACUGCCCACACCACCAAUGGGCACGGCAGAAAGAGAAAGCGGGCCUCUCCCUCGAAGA